rnacentral:tRNA from 1 species
GCCGGCGUCGCCUAACCCGGUAUGGCGCGAGCCUUGAGAGCUCGUCCCGCAAGGGAUUGCAGGUUCAAAUCCUGCCGCCGGCG